AAUAGAUACCCCGGUAGUCCACGCCGUAAACGAUGAGUGCUAAGUGUUGGGGGGGUUUCCGCCCCUCAGUGCUGCAGCUAACGCAUUAAGCACUCCGCCUGGGGAGUACGGUCGCAAGACUGAAACUCAAAGGAAUUGACGGGGGCCCGCACAAGCGGUGGAGCAUGUGGUUUAAUUCGAAGCAACGCGAAGAACCUUACCAGGUCUUGACAUCCCGGUGACCACUAUGGAGACAUAGUUUCCCCUUCGGGGGCAACGGUGACAGGUGGUGCAUGGUUGUCGUCAGCUCGUGUCGUGAGAUGUUGGGUUAAGUCCCGCAACGAGCGCAACCCUUAUUCUUAGUUGCCAUCAUUCAGUUGGGCACUCUAAGGAGACUGCCGGUGAUAAACCGGAGGAAGGUGGGGAUGACGUCAAAGUCAUCAUGCCCCUUAUGACCUGGGCUACACACGUGCUACAAUGGACGGUACAAACGGUUGCCAACCCGCGAGGGGGAGCUAAUCCGGAUAAAACCGUUCACAGUUCGGAUUGUAGGCUGCAACUCGCCUACA
rnacentral:rRNA from 1 species